UACAGGGGUCCCAAGCGUUGUUCGGAUUCACUGGGCGUAAAGGGUGCGUAGGCGGUCGGGUAAGUCUGAUGUGAAAUCUCACAGCUUAACUGUGAAACUGCAUUGGAUACUAUCCGGCUUGAGGAAUGGAGGGGAGACUGGAAUACUUGGUGUAGCAGUGAAAUGCGUAGAUAUCAAGUGGAACACCAGUGGCGAAGGCGAGUCUCUGGACAUUUCCUGACGCUGAGGCACGAAAGCCAGGGGAGCAAACAGG
rnacentral:rRNA from 1 species